UAUACAUGAAAGCUAUGUUCUUUCGCAAAUGUUACUUUAUCUACUUAAAUAGUAAGUUACUUUAUGUAGAAAAUAAGUACACGUUGCUACACGAAAUUCAACUCGCACAUAGGCAUAUUUGCUUGCAUCUGUGUAUAGGAUAUUAAUAGUUUGCUAAGAUAUCGCAGACAUCUGUAAGUAAGGCUAACCUCCUCCUUUCUUAAAUGAUCGGUGGUUACAUUUGACACAUCUUCGAAUAAUUUUCUAUCGUUUCAUGCAAUAACUACUCAAUUAUCUGUUAAAUACAAUCGAGUAUGUUUAUAGAUGAUCGGCCAAGAAUACCUGCGAUACUCUGAAUCAAGGUCAAACCUACGAUUAUCAGUCAAAUGUCAUUAAACGCUCAAGGGUAGAAAUAAGAAACGUAGUUUUGUGAAAGUAGAACAAUGCCAUUGAAGCGAAUACACUUAACGAAUAUGUAUCAAGUUUUUUGCGUUAUAUCAUUUCAAAUUUGAUAAUGGAAGUGUAAUUGAAUUAAUAAAAAGAAAGGGAAAGAAAACACAAAACGCAAAAAAAUAGAAGAACAUUCCCUGAUACGAUGAAACUGUACUAUUAACUUUUGUCUCGUUUUUCUCUUACAUUGUAUAUUCAGUUACGCUGUAAAGUUCUCGAUUCUUUUGUUCUCUUCUUUUUCUCCCUUGUAUUUAUAUUAAUGGCCAUGUCAAAGCCUGAUGCACCAAAAUUUGUAACUGCACUUUUUUCCUUUAAAGGAAAGAACAAUGACGAAUUGUGUUUCAAGAAAGGAGAUGUGAUAACUAUAACGCAAACCGACGAGGAAGGUUGGUGGGAAGGUACAUUGCAUGACAAAACAGGUUGGUUUCCAUCCAAUCAUGUGAAAGAAUGCAGAGUGCCAGAAAACAAUGUAUCGGCUGUAAAGAUUUCUCCUGAGAAAAUUUUACAAGAAUCACCUGUCCAUCAAAAAUUAAAUCGUGACAUUGUAUUAAAGGAUUUAGUGGAUUCUGAAAGAGUAAAUGUAGCAGAGUUACAGGGUUUGAUAAAUAGCUUUUUACAUCCCUUAGAAUCAGCCAGUAUAUUGAGCAAAGAAGAAUACAAACAACUAUUAGGUAAUAUACAUGAAAUAUUGGAGGUGCAUCAACGAUUGCUAUCUAAUUUGGAAACAGCUAUGACGCAAGAUUCUGCUUCUAGAGUUGGUAAUCUUUUUUUAACACUUGCUCCAAAAUUAAAGUCUAUCCAUAUGACAUAUUGUGGAAAUCAUCCGCGGGCUGUAUGUAUUUUAGAUCGGUACAGGGACGAGUUGAAUGAUUUCAUGGAACGUAGCGGAUCAAUAUCGCCCGGUAUAUUAGUGUUAACAACUGGUUUAAGCAAACCUUUUCGAAGGUUAGAUAAAUAUUCCGCUAUGCUACAAGAAUUGGAGAGGUAUACAGAAAAGAAUCAUUCUGACAGAGGUGACACUCAACGUAGUAUAGCUGUGUAUAGAGAAAUAGCGAGUCGAUGUGCGUCCAUUCGAAAACAACGUGAAUUGGCACUCCAAGUGUUAACUAGUGGUAUUAAAGGAUGGGAAGGAGAAGAGUUGAAUUCUCUCGGAGAAAUUCUCUAUGUUGGUUCUGUUACUUUAGCAAGCGGUGUUACGGGUCUAGAUCGUCGAGAUAGAUACUUUGUUCUUUUUCCAACGACUCUUUUGGUUCUUGGUGCUAGCCCGAGGAUGAGUUCCUUCGUCUAUGAAGGAAAACUUCCAUUAACGGGUAUUACUAUCACUCAAACAGAAGAUACUGAUGAAAUGAGAAAUGCUUUUGAAAUUACUGGACCAAUGAUCGAGAGUAUACUUGUACUUUGUGCUACUAAAGAAGAUCAGCAGCACUGGAUCGAGCUUCUAAUACAGGAACAAAUAACAAGCAAUAGUCUUGUGAAAUCAUCAACAGCGUUACGUGUGAGUUACAACUUACCCCCGUAUGUUCGUCUUUCAAGAUAUUUUGCAAAAUUAGUCAAGAAAAAGAUUAUAUGUCCUGAACUUUUGAAAAAGUUGCUUUAUUUACAAUAUGUUCUGAGGCCGGAUAUGAAAAAUGUAAAAAUGCGAAGGACUAAUAUAACGACAUAUGCUCUUUAUCCGAUGCAAACAAGUAGUCAGGAUUGUUCCCGUAACUGCGGAAGCUAUGAGCAGAAUAAGAUUAAAAUGGAACAAUCACUCGUUGGAACGACAGUAUUGCGUAAAUCUACUCUGACUCUCGAUGUAAAAUAUGCAUUAGGAGAUCUCGAUCUUAGCACUGUAGGAAUAUCAAAGGGUUCGUCUUUAACAGAAUUCAUAACAGCACAAAAUAAUACACGUGAAAUUAGCAAAAGUUUGCCACUUGUUGGCAUUACAAGCUCUGCUACAACUGAUUUUAUCAAUAACAAUAAUGUAAAUAAUAUUAAUAUUCCUGGUGGACAACCGGUUUGUCGAUCACGUUUUACUACUCUUGCUCGUUCAUUUCCAAUUAAUUCUAACUUCCAAAAAAAUAAAUUUGGC